GCUGGGAUUCUUCUUCGCAGGCCUAAAUACUCUUUUUUUUUUAGCUGCAGUCAUUUUCUGUAGUCAUUCAGCCCCCGUCCUUAUUUAGUCCAUCAAUGGUUUCUUUUUUUUUCUAAAUUUUUCACACUGCUCUAAGUUGAAUGUACAUUUCCUGUGUGAAGUUUCCCAUUUCUGCUUUUUUUGUUGUUGUCUCUUAUUAGAUUUUACAGAUAAGGUGCCAGAGUCAGUUCUUUGGUUCUUGUGUUGGCCAACUAGCACCGAUUGCAAACUCAAAGGCUUUUAUUUGUCUGUGCAAUUCACAAUUUACUACUGUCAGUAAGUCAUUAACUUGCAUUUUCAUAUCUCAAAAGAAGUAUUAAAAUAGCUCUUUGUAUAAAAUGAUAAAGCGUGGGGUCAUGUAAAUAGCAUGAAAUAAAAGCUAGAUCCCAUGACUCUGAAUAUUAAAAGUACUGUUAAAAUACAUAACAUUACAGUAUGUUCUACUGAAAUUAAGCAGAUGACCAGAAAGAGUGAUAUUACCUGUCUGGUCUCAAUGUCUUCAUGUUUGAUACCCUUUACCUCCACCUCUCUGAAGACUUUGGGUUCUGGGUUUGGCUUACUCAGGUCACAGUGGUAAAUGAUACCUGGAUACAGCAUAAUAGAAAUCAAAGUUAGACGUCCAGCGUGACUGGUUGCAUUUAAAUAGUUAAAUAUAUGGUCAUUUUAUUAAGAAAUUCUGAUAAUAUCAUGCAAAUUAAUUCAAUUUCAAAAGACAUGAUCUGCAACUUUAGUAAAAUAGGCUAAUUAUAGGAGUAUUUUAUGUUGCAAUUAAUCCUCUGUUGUAAUAACAAUAGCAAACAGCUGCAUAUCAGAAAGCAUUUAAUCUGUUAAAUAUCUGCCUUGGUCACACAAACUCAUACUUUAUUGAGUUUUUGGAGAAGUAAUUGCAAUAAUAUUUGUAUAUUUUUUUGCAUGUAAGAAGUGUAUUUCAUGUGGUUCAUACUCAUGGAAAAACUCAAGUAUAUAAAAACUGGAAUUGCCUGGUGUAGUAAAGGAGGUAAACUUGUAGAAGAACUCAGAGUGUUUCUUCUUGCAGCUCACUCCGGCCACAGUGCCCACAUCCAGCGGCAGGUCUCUGACAAGCCGGCCUGUAGACAACUCGCAUACUUGCAGGAUAUCCUUCACAUCAUGGACAUAGUUGACCAACAGGUGGUGCUGGUUCACACAUGACACAAAGCCUGCAGGAAAAUAAAGGAGGAAAUCACACUAUUUAUACUUCCUCCUCCUGUCGAUUCCCGACAAUGAUCUCAGCAAUAAGGAGUAAUCUCAUGAUUACUCAAGUAUGAGUUUCCCAGUGCGCCAAGAGCUAUACAGCUGUUUUUACCACAAGUAAAAUGUUGUGACGUGUUGUUCGCACUUCUCAAAGGUAACAUGGACAUUUGUGUAUGUUUCAUUCAUCACCAAGUACAAUUACGGUCAUUCAAGUGACACGAACAAAGAAAAAAAAAAUUACAACACAAAGUGCUUAUGGACAGAGUUUCACUUUUUGAGCAGAGUUCCCUCUGACGAAGGUUU